rnacentral:rRNA from 1 species
AGUAAAAGUCGUAACAAGGUUUCCGUAGGUGAACCUGCGGAAGGAUCAUUACCAAAAUAAAAAUUGGCUAUGUCGGGGGACCUGUCGCUACACUCGUGUGAUGCAGGUCCUGUCUGAACCCUUGUCUUUUGCGCACCAUUUGUUUCCUUGGCGGGCUUUGCCCGUCAGCUGGACACUAUUUAACCUCUUGUAAUUUGCAAUCAGCGUCAGAAAAACAUAAUAGUUACAACUUUCAACAACGGAUCUCUUGGUUCUGGCAUCGAUGAAGAACGCAGCGAAAUGCGAAAAGUAGUGUGAAUUGCAGAAUUCAGUGAAUCAUCGAAUCUUUGAACGCACAUUGCGCCCUUUGGUAUUCCAAAGGGCAUGCCUGUUCGAGCGUCAUUUGUACCUUCAAGCACUGCUUGGUGUUGGGUGUUUGUCCCUGUUUUUACGCAUGGACUCGCCUCAAAGCUAUUGGCAGCCGGCAAACAGCCUUGGAGCGCAGCACAUUUUGCGCGCCUUUGCUGGAACGUUGGCGUCCAUCAAGCCUACACUUUUGCUCUUGACCUCGGAUCAGGUAGGGAUACCCGCUGAACUUAAGCAUAUCAAUAAGCGGAGGA